CACAAACACACACACAACACACACACACACUCACAUACACUUGCACACACCACACACUCACACACACUAUACACUCAUACACACUUGCACACACCAUACACUCACACACACACAAAACAUUACAAAUAUUUGAUGUAGUACUUAAAUAUGAUACGCGAAAAGUGCAGUAGCCAUACUGUGAGGUUUUCAAUGAUAUAAAAUACUUUACUGUCCCAAACUCACAUCUCAAUCACAGAGCAUGCUGGCAUAUUCAUAGCGGCGGUGUUACAUGAUUGCCUCAUACGUAGGUUCUUCUGGGUUCAGAGUGUAACAUUUCUUUCAGGCUUUUGAUUCGCCCAGUGUACUGAAACAGCUAAUUUUACCCAUAGUGCCUUUUAAUGAUCAAACAUGCACUUUCCACUCAGUCUGUGUGCCACAUGGAGUGAACACAAACAAUGUACUGUUUGAAACUGUCAAAAAUUAAACGUCAAAAUACAGUAGGUAAUACACUUUUCACCAUAGCAUAGUAUUUGCCAUUAUUACAGUGUGACCAUGUCAAUGUCACUCAAUGAGAAGGAGGAGAGGACACUGAUAGUGUUUAUAUAAACCUAGGGUCAAGGUUAGAGAAGGGAUUGGGGUUAAAUUGAGUAAGGCUUAGGGCUAUGUGAGAACAGAGUAUCAAAUUGGUGUUUUACACCAGUAGCAACACUGAUUGUUACACAGUACUUAGCGCUAUAGACAAACGAUAACAAUGUGUACUGAGUCUUGUGUACUAUAACUGAGACGUCUUGUGUACUAUAUCUGAGUCUUGUGUACUAAAACUCUUGUGUUGUGUACUAUAACUGAGUCUUGUGUUGUGUACUAUAACAACAGUCUUGUGUACUAUAACUGAGUCUUGUGUACUAUAUCUGAGUCUUGUGUUGUAUACUAAAAAAAGAGUCUUGUGUACUAUAACUGAGUCUUGUGUACUAUAUCUGAGUCUUGUGUAUACUAAAACAAGAGUCUUGUGUACUAUAACUGAGUCUUGUGUACUAUAACAAGAGUCUUGUGUACUAUAACUGAGUCUUGUGUACUAUAACUGAAGUCUUGUGUACUAUAACUGAGUCUUGUGUACUAAAACUGAGUCUUGUGUACUAUAUCUGAGUCUUGUGUACUAUAACAAGAUUCUUGUGUACUAUAACUGAGUCUUGUGUACUAAAACAAGAGUCUUGUGUACUAUAUCUGAGUCUUGCGUGACUAUCCCUAGAAAGCCUCUGACUACAGAAAGGAUCCAGACCCUUAUUUUGCAUGAAGUUAUUCCGAAGGUUCAAUCACUAUCUAACCAAAUGAAGCGAAUCAGUGAAGCCUUUCCCGUAAAGUGUGUCUCCCUGGUUACCACGGUGGUUGUCGAGCUGCGCUUUGUAGAGACGGACCCCAGAUCUGUUAUGUAGUCCCCUGCUAUCACUCCAUCCCACCUCCAUCCCACUGCCCC
ensembl:lncRNA